GUGGUAAUUUGAGAUUCUACGUCGAUCUAUGCUAUUGCCGUCAAAAUCCAACGAAACUUUUAGGAUUCUGUACUGAGGGAUUGAAAAUUUGAAAAUCGUUUAUUUCUAGGUUAAUUGGUGUUUUGAAAAUUUUUUCUUCGCAAAUGUUUCGCAUUAAUGAUGCCAUUGAUGCCAAAAUAUGGAGAAAUAUCAUUCCUCAGACUGAGGAAAUACAUAUUUUGGCACGCAGUGGUGUCAAUAUUUUGGAUUUCAAAAAAUUGAAAAAAAAUUGAGAAAAAUCUGUUAAAAUUUAUGAUUUUUUUUUCGAAGUUGGCAAUAAUGAUAAAAAAAUUGGCACCACGUGAAUUCCAAAAUACAUUUCCUCAGUUUUAGGUAUGAAAUUAGAUUCGCAGUUGGACCCUCUUAUGUGCCACAUUGGGGGAGGAAGAGUUGCCCAAAAUUGAGUUUUUAGCGAAAGAUGCCUUAAAUUGUAGCACGAUUUAGGCCAUGAUCAGGAAGUUGCAUGGUAUUGGAUAGCGCUAAGGUGAAGCAGCUCAAAAAAAAAUUAUGAAAUUAUUUUCAACUUUAAAAUUAAACACCAAUCCCAUACGAAAAAUGUAACAAUGAUAAUAAUAAACGACAUAAACAUAUGGUGUAAGUAUGUACAGAUGGCAAUCCAGGCGUAAACGUGGCGAUGGCGGCUACGUGUACUUACUACAUAGGAUCUGUCUAUGUACAAAUGCUAUGAAAAUGGCAACGCUGUAUCUGAUAUAAGCAUAUUUUUUUGACCACCUGCCACUUGUGAAUUUGUGUCACGAAAGAAAUAAACGUUGAAUAUAAAAUAGUUAUAACUUAGUACUCGACUAGUAGAGUAAUAGUGAAAUGUCCGUUAUUGUGACAUUUUUUCUGAUAUGCCUAUAAUUUUAAUUGCAUGUUUGCGAGAAAGAAAAGAACUUGAUUAAUCAAAGUUUUGUGACGUUCGUAUAAUUUUUUCGGAGAAAAUGAUGUCCGUUGUAUACUACGUGCCAAUUCAAAAGGAUCGCCAUUUUGAACUAACCCAAGUUACGGCGGCCAAGCUUGAUUUUUGGAUUCUCCAGAGUAAUUUGAGGCAUAAUGUGAAGAAUUCAAGAAUAUUUUUCCAAGUUUUCAAAUGUCAGCAUCAAUUCAGCGCCUUGUAAAGUCGGCGUCUCGCGGAUUAGCGUCGAAAGGAUCUUCGUCUUGGAAAUUUUGUACCUACGCACUGCAUGCCGGCGAAUGCAAAAAACAUUACUAUGUUAAGAUGAAAAUUAUUGUUGAAUCGCCCUCCCAGGUACUGAAAAUUACCAAAUUAAAUUGGUGAAAAAACUAGCAUAAUUAACCAAAACUAUGCGAGAAUUGCUUCCGAAUUCGUUGAAAUUCCGCAUGAAAGUUGCUUAAAUUGGCUGCAGGAAAUUGAUAUCGUAAAAAAGUUGUUGAAAAUAUCGCCAAAAUGCACAGUUAUGAAAAAAAAAGAAGAAAUCCUGCAAAAUUACGACAAAUAUGAAUACUGAAAUGAAAUGAAAUAUUAAUUAAAAUAUGACACAAAGAAUCACAAAAAUCGUAAAAUUAUCAUAAGUAAUUAAGUAUAAUAACUCGAAUGCUACAAAAAAUUGAUAGAAGUUCGGGUCAUUCCAUGCCAAAUCGGCGGAUUUUUGCACGAGGGGUCUUCUUUCAAAAUCAGAUCAUGUAUAAAGGUCAUCAAACGAUGACGAAUGACGCAAACUGGACAUUUUUCGGAUUUUUUUUGGCAGAGCUGUGGGGGCUUUCACAAAGUUCUCCAAAAUGGCCUAAAAUGGAAAAUUUCAGUUGCAAAUUGCUCCGGUUGUACGUGAUAGUCUAUAGAAUUUUGAACUAUACUAUAUUCUUAAAAUCGUGGUACUUUGAGAGGGUAAUCGACGAAUGAUGUCAAAAUCAGUGUUGCCACUUUCAAAAACCUAAGAAAGUCGAUUUGAAAAUUUAUAACUUGAUUUAAAUAUAACCAUGAUCUCGGCGAAUAAAAAUUCUGAAAAAAUUUUCAGUUUCAGUCCUUUUUAUGUAGAAUAACGUAUCAAAAAAUUGGACUGGAAUUUUUUUUUUCAUUUUCGAGAAAAAAAAUUACAAGUUUUCCACUUACCUACAUAUUGCAAAAAUACCAUCAGAAACCUAAAAAAUGAAAAUUUUUGCACUUUUGAAGUAUUUUACUCAUGUGUAGACGAACAUGUGAAAAAAUCCCCCUCUCCACCAAUUUGUCAAUGAAUUGACGUGAAAUGCCAUUUUUGAUGCUGUGAAACAUAUUGAAAAAAUUUCACCUCGUGUUUUAAACAAAAGCAGGAACCUAAAAAAUGAAUAUUUUUGCACUUUUUAAAUACAGUGGGUUCCGCUUAUAGAUAGUGGGCAAGUUGGGCCGAGGUAGAUUAACUCUAUUAAGCGAAAAACUCUAAUAACCGAUGCGAAAAAAACCUGCAAAAUUCCCAAUUUUGUUAAAGUUUUAUCACUUUUUGAUGUUUUUUAAAGGUCCCAUACAUAUUGUGUAGACCGACAUGUGAAAAAAUCUCCUCCUCCUCCCCCUUCCCCCUCCACCCACCGAUUUGUCAAUGGAAAGCACGGUCGUAUGAGAGUGAUAUUACAUACAUAACAGUAAGGUCAACGAUCUGAUGUAGGAUCAAUUCAUGUCUACCUUUUUGUAAUAUGUAGGAUACUUGAGCUUGAAAUCAAAUUUCAACUUGUAUAUUUUAGAAUAAUUCUUAAUUUUACGAGUAGGUAUACCAUGAGUCACAAUUUUUCUGAAUUGUAGAUAAGUAAUAACUUACUUACUCAUAAACUCAACUUUACUGAACUUAAAUAUAAAGACAUUACCAUGUAAAAAUGUCCAGUACAUACUGCCAGGUACCAAUUCCAAUUUCUAUGAUUUGCAUGCCGUAUUUGAAUCUGCGAUGUAAUCCGAUUGUAUAGUAUAUAAAGUUCGUACUGGAACCAAUUCUAUUGCGAAUCGAAAUAAUCAAAUUCACAUGCCUUGUUUCAUCGAUUUGCAGAGAUUCAAUCUGUAUUAUUACAGCCAUUGUGCCAAAUUCUUCAUAUUGGAUUUCUUGGACAUUAAAACACCAAGUUGGUGAUCAAAUUAGCAAUGUUGCUAAGGAAAUUGACCUGUGAUACGUGAACUUCUAAAUUUGAGUUGACUCUUCACAGCUUGUCCGCUCAAUCUUAAACAAAACAAAAAUUAAUAUUUAAAUAGGUAUGCACACACACAAAAAAAAGAACUAAACACUUUUUAUAAAAAAAGAGAAAAAUUAAAUACUCACUCACAUUGCCCAAUAAUGGACAUUACAGUACUAGUUUCUAGCAGUGGGCUGUGGGCAUACAGCAUGCCACUCAAUAUUCUUUUUGCUCUUCAGGAACGCUGAUGUUAAAGAGCGAAAGAGGACCCGCUUUGCUCCCUUGAGAUCCUAAUAUUUGUGCGUAACCCUACUCUCCCCUUUCACUGAAGAUCACUGAAAAUUAAAGAAAAAAAGAGUGAUAAUACAAAAAAAAAAAAAAUUAAGAAAAACGAAACAAAACAAAUCAUUCUUACCUAUACUUGGCCAACUGGAUCUUUUGGAACAACAUGCCUUCCACGUGAGGGGUCAUGCAAUCGGUUCAGUUUCUUCUUCCAUUACCUUUCCAUCCGUAGCUGGUUCAGGCAUUGCCGGCUCCUGAACAAUAAUAUUAUUUGAAGAGGACACUGAUGGGUCAGAUGACCCUGGACAGUGGACAUUCAUCCAUUCCCUCUAAUUCUGAAAACAUAAAAUAAAAUAAAUAAACAAAAUUUUUUCAAAAAAAUUUUGUUGGCAAUAAAAACACUGCAAAAAAAUACAAAAAUUCAAAUUUUUUCUUCUUCUCCUCUUCAGAAGUCGAAUGUUUCAUACGGUGGCAUUACUAUGUUUCCUUGAAACCACAUUUCAUCCAAACAUAAUUCUGUUGCCGUUCUUGUAUUGUAUAUGUAUUUUUGGGCUAAUUUCAUUGGGUAUCAUUCCAUACUUGUAUAGUGACCAAACUAGCCUUUGCACAACUAACAGAAUCGGCAGAUGCUGCAAAUGUAAUGAAUUUAUUUACAAUUUUAUUUGCCAAUAUAGGUGCCCCAUGAAAAUUUGUUUGUGACAAUGGAAAACACUUUAAUAACAUAAAAUUUGAAGAAUUUUGUGAAAUACAAAUAUUAGAAUUAAAUUAGUAUUUUUCCAGCACCUAUCCUGGUCCAAUAAACAAACUUGUAGAAAAACUGAAUGAAAGUUUAUGUAGAACUCUACUUUUGUUAUGUUGAUAAAGAUAAAAAUGAAAAAAGUAAUCAAAAUUUGUUCCAUUUCUAACUUAUAUUCAAAAGAAUAACUUUCAUCUACUCAUCCCAAGCAGAUGUAACUUACUUGGAAAGCUUUUUAUAAACUGAAGAGAUCUUAGCUCCAGCUCCUUUUGGUCAGGUAAUUGUAAAAACGAAAAAUAGUAAUACUAUAGGAGGAUGCAAUGCGUGAAAUUCAUUUAUUCAUUAUUGCCUUUCAGUGUUUUACAGACUAUAAGUUUGUUUUCUACGGGUUUUCUUACUUCAACUUUGAAGUCCGAAGUUGAAAGCUAUCAUCGGGCAUUAACUACAAUUGGUACAACUUGGUAUUGCAUAUCGGAUGCAUGUCGACUUGUAGAAUAAUUCAUUAAUUUUAUUUAAACGUGAUCUGGAUGCUCUGAAUAGCUCGUUAACAUAUAUUAUAUUACAUUAUAACAAUAAUUAUCUAGUAUCAGUAUAUCAGCAUCAGCCAUCAGGAAUUGCUUACAUUUUCAUGCAAUUAGUUCAGUCAUGAGUUCGUUGAAUGUGAAUAUAACAAGACCCUGUGAUUCAUAAACUUCUAAAUUUGAGUUAAGCUUCCCAGUUUGUCCUCCAGGUCAAUCUGAAACAAAAAAAAAAUAUUUAAAUAGGUAUUACAAAAAAGUAAGAAAAAAAAAUUAAACACUAUUAUCAAAAAAAAAGAGGGAAAGAGAAAUUAAACACUUACUUGCAUCGUGGUAGUGGAAUUCCAGCAAUGGGCAUACAGCAUUCCACCCAAUAUUAUUUUUCCUCUUGGAAGAACGCUGAUGUUGAAGAGCAUAAGAGGACCUGCUUUGCUCCCUUGAGGUCCCAAUAUUUGUGUUUAACCUUACUCUCCCCUUUCACUACAGCCAACUGAAAAUUGAAGAAAAAAAGAGAGAUACACUUAAUACAAAAAAAUUGAAGAAAAAAAUAAAACAAAACAAAAACAAAUCAUUCUUACACCUGUUUAGCCAACUAGAUUCUUUGGAACAAAACAGGUUCACUUUCUUGAGAAUUGCCUCUCCAUCCUCAGCUGGUUCAGGCAUCACCUGCUCCUGAACAAUAAUAUUGUUUGAACAGUUCUCAAAAUUUCAGUGAAGUAUAGAACAUGUGCGUUUCAUUUCAAAGCAGUCAGUUAUCAAUAUCAUGAGAGUGUUUCUAUCCAGAUAAUGUGCAAUUUCAAAAUUGACAAUCAGACAAAAAAUAUCAACAUCAAAAACUGCUGAAUCAUUUUCUCUCUUCACUAGACAGCAUAAUACAUAUAUUUAACAAAAUACUCAUACCAAAUUUGCGGGCAUCUUCUAGUCUGAACUUGGAGGGCUUCGACCUUACCAAAAAUUGGAAAGAAUCAUUUGUGAAACCUUCAAGCUUUGACUUAGUAUAGGUUAAAAUAAAUUGAGCUUUUUUUGAACUCAUAUAAUAUAAUUAUUUUUCUAUAUUAUAGGUACAUCAAAUAAAAUCGCAUACCUACAUAAUAUUACAAUUACUAAAAUUGUUAUUCUUAUAGUCAUUAAUAUACACAUUAUGUGGUAUGAUCUGUUCCAUGACUUGAAAAAAAAAAUAAAAAUAAAUAAAUAAAUAGAAUACGGAAUUUUUCAAUUUAGUACAGUUAGAAAGGGGUUGAACCCAAAUAAAAUUGCUAAAAAGGUUUCUUGCUUUAAAAUUCUCAGGAGGAAAACCACCAUUGAUCUAGUCAAAAUAGUAUGCAGUGAGGUAUUGAUCCAAUGUAUUUGAAAAAUAUCACAAAUAUGAAAACCAUAGUGCCAAAUAGCACAUGGUUACAAGAAUUUUGUUUGAGCAGUCAAGUGUUUCAUUCAUUCCUGUUAUCUACCACUAAUGCAAGAUGGUACUAAGUAUAUACACUUUGAUGCACUGUGAAAUAGUUUACACACACUAAAAAAAAACCUGUUUCUUGGGUCCUGCCCUGUGAAUGGUAGCAUAAUAAAGAGAGAGAAUAAUAAAAUAAAACACAAUACACAAGAUACACAUAUACCUACUUUACCAGUAAGUAUAUGUCAAGCCAUGCAUUCAAAUCUCAAAAGGAUUUUCUAAAUAUAAGAGUGGAGAGCAUAAACUGGCUGAAAACCUUUCCCAAAUAAGAGGACUAGGUAGAAAGCAAACAAUAUGUUUCCGUGAAAUCUAUCAACUAUGUGGGACUGGAUGAAAAUUAGUCUGGAUGAAUAACGGAUAGGAUAAAAAAUGGAGGAUUGGAUCAAUGACUUUUUACAAUAUUUGAUUUCCUAAUUCAGUGGAUCAUUACCAGAUUGGAAGAAAUUCAAACUGCAUCGAUAACUUUCCACAACAUUUAUUUUUUUAAAUAAAUUGGAUGAAUAACAGACUGGAUCAAUACAGAACUGGAUCAGUAACAAGUUACCUUCCCAGGAGGGUGUCCUAAACAACACAUCUGGACCCGACCCCAAUCCACCUGGUGCAUCCCCCCAAAGUGGAUUUUAGCUCCCCAAAAACAAGUUUUUCAUCAUCCCCCCUGCAUCGACCACAUUGCAUUUUAGCAAAAAAUAUGUGGUUAGACAAAAGAAUCUAUGUCAAAGGGACUCCCCUUAUAAGAUGGGUGAUAAGACCUCUGAUCCAUAAUGGAUCAAAAGUGAUCCAAAAAGUCACCCUUGAUGUAAAAACUCUCCAUAUACAUUUUUGACCUCCCACCCCCUCCCC